rnacentral:lncRNA from 1 species
AGAGCUGUAUUUUUUCAGAAGCAAAGCACUUAGGAGUGUCAGGUGUCUCGUUAGACGUGGAAGAAAACCAAGGAAGGAGUUGGGUGGGGUGGUGCCAAUGAACUGUGCUUGCUAGGCAUGCAGCGCAGAGGGCCCAGCUAAAUACAGGCCUGGGUAAUUUUUUUGCUUAAAGAAUUUAGCGAGCAGUACCAGAAUAUUCGUAACUGAAUUAAGUUAAAGAGCAGAUAUUCUUUCUACCUGCAUGUUUUUAUCUACUCCAUCCCCCUGCUUUCAGAGGGAGAGCUUCCCUGACCUGCUGCUUCCUCCUGUCGUGCUGCUACAACAGCACGUUGCCCUUUGAUCACUCUGUCAUCUUAAACACCUGGUCCCCAUCAUCAGUUUUUAAAUUCUGCUUUCUUUUAGGAUAAUGAACACCACAAGCUCUAGGUAGCAUGAGAGUUUUGGCUUCCAAAUAGAAGCUUUUUAGGCAAAACAUGCAAGCAAUUCAAUUCCUAGCCUCGUGUUUUUUUUAUUUUUUUUUUUUCCAGAACAACUUUGCUUGUGUUCCUUAACAAUAGGCUUUGAGCCGUUUCAGAAAGCUGAUCUGCUACGUGCGUAUGGCUCCUCAGCGAUCCUCCAAGCCAGCUGCAAGAUGCAGAGCUCUGCUGUUAGCCCUUGGUGCAGAGGGGAGAAUCACACCAAAUAACUGUCUUGCUCACCGGCUCCUGGAAGGUCUUUUGACAGGUAAUUGGUGGCUUGCACUGACAAAUCCACUUCUGAGUCCUUAGCAGUCAGUCUUGCUGACUCUGCCUGCCUGCAGAGCUGGAUAUUAAUGCCAAUGCAGACCGUGUUCCUGGGAAAGCAGGAUGAGAUAGACAAGAGAACUUCCUCCUGUACUGUAUGGCCUCUGAAUUUCUACCUCACCUAAAUGAGAACAGUAGAUUCAAGACAACGGGAAAGGUUUUAAAUUGAAGAAGAUCCGGGAGAAAAGCUGACAUGCAGGAGGAUUAAUGCUCAUCUUGGGAGGAUGGAGUUGAUUUCAUGCCUUAGUUUGCCAGAUGACAAUUUUUAUUCCUAACUUUGGAAAUUGGUCACUGUGAUUCUGCAGCUUCUUGUUCUGCAAAGGUUAAUGGUGAUCCGUGUAUCAGAGCAUGUCAAAGUACUGGCCUGCAGCCAUCUGGCAGUGCUUCCUUGAGGGCAGUGGUAAGACAUGCAGUGUACCUGCCUAUCUGCUUAUUCCUAUAGCAUCAUUAGUGCCUUGCAUAAGCACUAAUUACCAGUUUGUGAUUUUGCUGGAGGGAAAUAACAUUUGAUUUUAUGCUGCACUGAAAGACGGGCUUUUCUGCUUUGCUAAGACCUUUAAAGCUCAAGCACAUGAUCAAGUUGCAAUGACACAGGAAGAUGCAUGGAAUAUUAGGGAGUGGAUAUAGCUGGUCUGCAGUCAGAGUUCGCUUUUAGUCUAUGACAAGCAUAAGAUGGAAGUUCCCUAAGACAGCAUGUUGGGAAGCUAUGGUACUUUUAUUUCCCAUGGACCAGAAGUGACCACAGAAGCUGCUGCCAUAGCUCAGUUGGUAUAAAAAGAAUUGCAUGGUCAAGGCUAAGGCUGCUUUUUAUAACAUUCGAUCACUUUGAUAUCCUUGCAAUAUGACAGCAGCUUGUUCACACUUUUAAGGCCCCUUUACUCUGCCGAAGUGUUGUAAAAAUGCCCUCCUGUUCAUCAGAUUCAUAGAAAUAGUUUAAAAAUCUGUUUUAAAAGCCUUCUGUAAUCAUUUAUGCUUUUACAGAGUAAGAGAACUGCCAUAAUUUUGAUUUUCUAAGCUAUGUAACUCUAUUUCUAGUGUGGUAUUGUAUAGUGCAGAGAUAAACACUGUAACCUAGACCCACAUACAAUAGAACCAAGUACAAAUCAAUUUUUUUUGCCAUUUCUUUGUUCAGAGGGAAAUACAUGGACCUACCGCAUUAAUUCACCAUAUGCAAACUCGUAUAAAUAGUGGGGUAUUAGAAACAUCCAUUUAACUACCUAGUUCUCAUCUGCAGGAUAGAAAGGAAUAUCUCCUGUUUUGAUUACUGGGACCACUCUGAAUCAUAGUGAAAUUAUAAAGCAAGAAGUAAGUGUGUUAAGACUUACCUGUUAUGGCAGAAUAAAUGCUUUGACAGGAGAGCUCUAACA